UCAUAAUACACUGUGCCUUACUUAACUCUUUCUUUCCUGCAUGUGACCAGAAAUGAGUUGAUCCAAUGCCAUUUUAUGUUGUGGGGUCUUUCUACUGUAAUGUUUUGUUUUCCUUCCCUGGUUAGUCAAUCAUAGCUUGCUUGUGACAGAAAAUAUGGGCAAAAUGAGCACAAUUACAUGAUACUUUACUGUGUCAGAGGUUUUUGAAGGAUAUAUAUGCAAACUUAAACAUCUGGAUUCAGUUUUGACAUGGCUGAUUUGGGCUCAAAUUAAUGUAGUGAAAGUGUGUCCAAGCAAAGGUAUUACCAGUAUGUCCCAAAAAUAUGCUCCUUGCUUGCUCCAAUGUUUAAAUAUAUAUAUAUUUGUUUUUAUUUUGCUUGCAUGAUAUUAUAAGUGGGUUUAUACUCUCUUUGUCAUGUUUUAGUGUAGUUGUUUUAUCGUAUUUUUCUAAAACAGCAUGCCGUUAAUCUUGUGUAUGCUACAGUAGGCUUCUAAAAUGAAAUAUGUCUACUGCUAAAGAAACAGAUAAAACAAUAUAAAAUUGUGUAUAUUGAUGAUGGCAUUUCACAUGCAGAAUAUAGAAUCAGUUACAGUUUUAAUGUCUUCAUAACUGCCUUCUGAGAAUAAACUUUGGAUACUAUCCGCAUAUAGUCAACUUCUAUCUUGUUUUAUUCACCGGGAAGGUUGAUUGUUCCUUGACUUUUGAGAAGUCCGGUAACACAUUGUUGUUUGUUUAAUGGCGAUCUGAUCAAAAUCCUAAAAGUUUCUUUUCUGCUUUAAUGUUUGGUAAGGCACAAAAUGUUUCUUUUUUAGUGUUUCAAAUAUACUUCAGUCCACAAGGUGGAGCUUUGGACAUGUUUUUCCAUCCAGAGUUUUGUUCUUGAUAAGAAUACCACAGCUGGAUUGCUUGCUGCAGAUGUCUUUCUAACUAGAAAGGUUAAAUAUAUCAUUGCAUUGCAUAAAGUACACAUUGGAAACCUGGCGGUUCUGAGGACUUGUAAUGUUUAUGCUGUUGCAAGAAAAGUUAUACAAUGUACUAACAGUGGUGUCUUUCAAUAGAGGUUUUUAUUUGUAUAAAAUUAUAAAACAGAAAUGCAAAUUGUGAAUAUUCCAAGGCAUUCUGUUUUGAUCUUAGUUGCUUAAUUCCUGCCCAUAAUUCAGUGCCUCUUGAGAUAAUUGGUUUUGUGAACUAGCAAACAGUCUUUGAAUUGUUGUACAUGUGUAUUUAGGUAUUUAUUUAAUGUGUCAGAAGCAAAUUGAGAAUACAGCUAUAAUAUAUAAUAAACCAGAAACAAAGUUAAAAACAUGGCAUUAUGCUAAAUUUCCUUCGACCAGAAGUUGCUGGGGUUGCUGUAAGUAGGUCCUUCAUUGUGCAUGUGGCAGGGUUCUGACUGCAUUGUAGUAAGUGGUCUGUGGUUUCCUCUUCUCCACACUUGCAUGUCGUAGACUCCACUUUGUGGCCCCAUUUCUUAAAGUUGGCUCUGCAUCUCGUGGUGCCAGAGCGCAGUCUGUUCAGCACCUUCCAAGUCGCCCAUCUUCUGUGUGUCCAGGAGGGAGUCUCUCAUCAGGCAUCAGCCACUGUUUGAGGUUCUGGGUUUUAGCCUGCCACUUUUGGACACUCGCUUGCUGAGGUGUUCCUGCGAGUAUCUCUGUGGAUCUUAGGAAGCUGUUUCUUAAUUUAAGGCAUUGACAUGCUGGCUAAUAUCCAAACAGAGGAUAGGCCAGAGAUGUCAAUGCCUUGGUCCUUUCAUUACAGGCUGCUACUUCCCAACGGAUGUCAGGUGGUGCAAUACCAGCUAAACAGUAUAAUUUCUCCAGGUGUAGACAUCCUAUAAUAAUGCAGCAUGUCUCAUUAAGGGCCACAUCCACUGUUUUAAUGUGGUGAGAUGUAUUCCACACUGGCCAUGCGUAUUCAGCAGUAGAGUAGCAAAGUGCAAGUGUAGAUGUCUUCAUUGUAUCUGGUUGUGAUCCCCAGGUUGUGCCAGUCAAUUUUCGUAUGAUAUUAUUUCUAGCACCCACAUUUUACUUGAUAGUCAAGUAGUACUUCUUAUAAGUCCAGAGUGACUCCCAGGUAUUUUGGUGUGCUGCAAUGCUGCAGUAGGACUCCUUCCCAGAUAAUCCUCAGAACUCGAGAUGUUUCUCUGUUCUUAAGAUGAAAAGCACACAUCUGUGUUAUAGAUGGAUUAGGAAUCAGUUAGUUUCCCCUGUAAUAGGCAGUAAGAGCACCUAAAGCUUUGGGGAGCUUCUGUUCAACCAUUUCAAAGUUCCCUGCUUGAGCGGUGAUGGCAUGAUCAUCAGCAUAGUUUAAAUUCUCUGUCCCUACUGGCAGUGGCUGAUCAUUUGUGUAAAUGUUAAACAUUGAUAUACCAAGCAUGUUCCCCUGAGACAGGCCGUUCUUCUGUAUGUAAAUGUAUUUAGGUGUACAGUUAGUUUUCCCUUCGUAGUUCAUGAUUAUCAUCUCCUUGGCAGCCAAACUGUCCCUCUAGUUUCUAAGAGGUAUGCAGAUACUUGCACAGAAAUUGGUAUUAACAACCAUUAACAAAGUUAACACCAUUUGCUAAUGUGUGUCUAUGUUGGUCUUGUAUGAAAAGUUGGCAGGUUUCAAGAACACCCUCCAAGACAUGCAUACUAUAUAUUCUAUGUCCACAUUCAAAAUAUUUUAUCACUGUAGGCAACUAAAGAAGUAACAUGAAUGAAGAUUAGUCUCAAUGCAUUUCAUAGUUCAUUGGGAGUAAAAAUGAAAAUGAUAGGUUAUAUAUAAAAUUGAAAACAACAGUUUAUACAUAUUUGUCUCUAAUGCUUCCCAAAGGACAGCCUGUCCAUGUUUCCAAGUUUAGUAUCCCUAUAGGCCUAUUUUUGCAGGUUUUUCAUUGUAUGUUGGUGCUAUACAGGUUGUCCAUAAAGCCUCUUUACCAUUUUACCAUGUAACAGCAAAGCAAAUGGUAAAGAGACUUUAUGGACAUCCUGCAUAUCUGUAUAUCUAUACAUACAUAUGUACAUACAUGUUAUGUUAUAAUAUAUAGAUUGUAUUAAGGUUGUUGUAUGUCUUUCGGGCUGUGUGGCCAUGUUCCAGAAGUAUUCUCUCCUGACGUUUCGCCCACAUCUAUGACAGGCUUCCUCAGAGGUUGUGAGGUAUGGAUAAACUAGGAAAGGAAAAAAUAUAUAUCUGUGGAGAGUCCAGGUGUGGCAAGAAUCCUUUGUCACUGGGAAGCCAGCAUUAAUGUUUCAGUUAAUCACCCUAAUUAGCAUUGGAAAGGUUUUUUACAACAACCCUGUGAUCCCGGCCAUGAAAGCCUUCGACAACACAUGUAUUAAGGUUUCCAAUCUUAUAUAUACACCUGUUAAUAGAUAGGAGCCAGUGCCGUCUGAGCAUUGUACUAUGACUGGAGACAAGGGUACGAAUCCCUGUUUGGGUUUGGAAGCCUCCUGGGUGGCCUUGGCAGGUCACAGUCUCUCAGCUUCAGAAGAAAGCAAAGAUAGACCACUUCUGAACACAUAUUCCUCAGAAAACCCCAUGAUAGCUUCACCUUAGGGUCACAUAGGGGCUGGAUCUACACUGCCAUAUAAUCCAGAUAAUCACAUCGGAUAAUCCAGAUGAUCUGCUUUGAACUGGAUUAUAUGAGUCUACACUGCUAUAUAAUCCAGUUCAAAGCAGAUAAUCUGAAUUUUAUAUGGCAGUGUAGAUGGGGUCUAAGUCAGACGAACUUUGAAGGCACACAAUCACCACUUCGGUGUGACUUACUUCUAAGUAGAAAUGUAUAGAAUUGAGCUGUACAUAUACUUUACAUUCUUUAUCAAGACCAGGUAUCUAUCUUCAGCAAUUUAUGUUCAGAUUCAUAAAACCUUUUAAAAGAAAUUCAGCAUUCUUUAUACAAAUAGGUAGUAGUAGUAGUAGCAGUAGUAGUAACAACAACAACAACAACAACUCUAUUCUUGUAUCCCGCCUCCAUCUCCCCGAAGGGACUCGGGGCGGCUCACAUGGAAACAAGUCCAACAACACAAGUUAAAACACAGAAUAAUCAAUUAAAAACAUUAUAACUACAUAAAACAAUAAAAACAUAACGAGGACAAUAAUUCUAUAUGACAUGUGCUUCAAUGGACAAUUAAAAAUGGUCACAACCUUUUGUUUGCUGAAAUAUUAAUUGAACUUCAAAACAAGACACUUGUGUUAGUUUGUCUUCCAUCAUACGAUACAUUAAUUACAGAAAUUGAAAGAAUAGUAGAAAAACAAUAAUAGCAUCUCUAUAUGGGAACGUACACACUUAAAGAGUUAAAUUCCAUUAAACUCAAAGCAAGUCUAAGCUGCUCUCUCUCUUUUUUCUCUAUUCUGCCACCCAUGCAUGCAAAGUAAGGGAUUCUGAAGGCAGCUGCUGUUUAUCAUGCCUGUUGUAUAUAGGCUCAUACAACUACCCAGUACUGAUGCUGCUAAAAAAAACUCCCCAAAAUGUUUUACUCCUCCAUCCCUUCUGCUUAGAGACAAACUGCUUCACCUUUUUUCCCUAUAUUGGCAAUGUGGCUUACAUUUGCUCUCUAAAAUAAAAACAAAACAUAGAAACCUGUCAAAUGCAAACUAAUUUAGUCAUUUGGAAUAAAAUGCCAAUUUCAAACCAGGAAAGGGAUACGAAGAUAUUGUUAAGAGCCAGGGGAGUGCAGAAACCUAUGUCUCACUGUAACAAUAAAUCACCUGAACUAACUUUUUGAGUCAAAGUGUGUCUUCCUGUAUUAAGGAAUGACAUGGGACAUUUUCAAAGAAAUUGAUACACUCAUAUAGAUCCAUAUGUAUACAUGCACAUCAGCACUAAAGACAAGAGGAUAGGACUUUUUCCCACGUUGAUAUCCUCCCAUUCCAUGCAAUGCUCUUUUUAGAAGUUAAAUAUAUAUUGCUUGAUUUCUCUCCACAUUGACUGCAUUCAGUUAAAGAAGGACCCAUCAAAGAAUCAGUAUAUAGGCUCAUACAACUAUACAACUAUAUAAGUGAAGGUAAGCAGCAGGAGGCUAGGGCUGUGUAGCUAAAUCAUGUUUGCCCCCUCACACCAGGCACUGGUACAAUAGUUCACUGGCCAAAAGUUGUACCCCCACCUUUCCUGUGUCCUUCUGAAUCCUUGAUAGGUCAACUUAACCUUUUAAGGUUAUGUUGUCUAGGACUGUUAAUCUUUCCUUCCCAGCUCCUCUCCACUCCCCCCAUUCUUUGUCUGAAGAGACCUCAGCUUCUUAAAACUUUUCUUUGACUUUAAGGAGGAGGAAAGAUGCUGUGUGUAGUGCAUCUUCCUAAGAAGGAACAUCUUCUGAACUUUGUGGAGACAAGACUAAAGGUUUUUAGAAGUUUACAGCCAGUGCCACCACAUGUGCAGGACUACGAGGAAGCUAGCAUUGAACAGCUUCAGCCUGCAAAGAGUGAGCAGUGCCUCAUUUAUCCUAACUGGACAACUUUCAUUGUAAUUAACCUGAAUGCUUAUUCUGUCAGUGCGUGAUGGAAAGCUGGAAAAGGGAUGUAGUUAACCCUGAUGCUAGUUUUGCUGCUUAUGUACUGUUUUCCUGAAGACUGUAUCCCAAAUUGUUUUCAAUGUUCUUUUUAAAUGUGGAAAGCCAUGGUAAAUGUACAAGUACGUCAUCUGGUAACAAUCUUAGAAUGUCAUCGCUUUUCUUCAAGAUGCCGUUUUCCUUUAGUUGAAAAAUGUUUAUGCGUUUGUGACCUUUGAAUAUUUAUCAUCAAAAAGGACUUUUCCUUGGACAGUUCAGAUAUUUAUUUAAAGUCUCAUGUGACCUGAGUCACAUUGUGGUGAAAUGUCAUCAUCUCAAUGUUUUGGAAUGUCAUCGUGGUUUCGUGGUAAAAAAAAACAAAACCACCAGUUAACGCUAGAAACAAAAGAAAUGUACUGCAUAAAGUCUAACUCAUUUAAAUUAGUUGCAUCGGUGAAAAUAAAUUCCUCAGACAUCAGCCAAAAUGUCUCUAUGGUCUGUUCAUAGAGAUGUUCUGGGGACAAUUCAGCCAACCUGCCAGAUGGGCUUACCUAAUAGAUAUUUCAGCUAAAUGUCCACUGAAUAAUAGAUUUGUGCGCAGAAUUUGUUUCUCCCAUUUCCUUCGUUACUUUUGUUUCUUUAGGUACUUCGGGAGCACGUAAUGGGAACCUCCUCCCUGUACAAAAAUCAGAUGGACACAAAAGCAAGCGGGAGCCAAUCCUGGCUCCAGGCCUGCUUUUUGGCAUCACAGUUUAAUCUUUUUUAUUACUCCCCAGCAAAGAAAAUGUAAACCCCAAUUCCCUGAAAAAUAACUCUCCUCCUCCAGAAGGUCAUUGCUCUUCCUUACCUGUAAGUGGGAAGUCUCUUUGAAAUGCAUUGGAAUGGAAAGUGUGUGGCUGGCAUGGUGUAGCCCAGGACAGAAAAUAUGUGUGCCUGUAGCCAAGCGCUUCCCAGAAUUUGCCUUGAAAAGAGACUGUGUGUAUGGUGUGCAGGCCCAGAAAGCGCAUGCCUGCCAGUGCCUACAGCCGAGCGCCUCCUCUAGAGUAAGAAAUUCUUACUCUAGAGGAGGGAGGUGCUCGGCUGCGGACACUGGCAGGCGCACAUGCUUUCUGGGCCUGCAUGCCACACACACACACUCUCCUUAGAAAGAGUGUGUGUGUGUGUGGCAUGCAGACCCAGAAAGUGCAUGUGCCUGCCAGUACCUGCAGCUGAGCGCCUCCUCUAGAGCAAGAAACAGAACUUACCUUCUUGCCUUGGACAGAGAGUGUCUGUGUGGCUUGUCUGCCUACCAGUGCCUGCACCCAAGUGCCUCCUCUAGAGUAGAAAGAAACAACAACCUCCCUCCCCAUAAUGGAUUGAUAGAAAAUGAAUCUUUCGGCACCCCAGAGCAAAAACAGAUUUCUGCCCUCCCGUUUCGGGAUCCUCCCUAAAAAACAGAUCUGGGCUCCCACUGAAAGCCGAGAUAUGAAACGGGUCAAGGUUUAUCCUAAAUGCACAACCCUACUGAGUAAUUUACUUAAUGCUGAAAACACUCCAGCUUGUAUUCUUGAGGUCUCAGAUAAAUGUGCUGAGUUCUAUACCUAUCUAGUUGUAUGGAUGAAAAAACAUUACUCUCUGUUUACGAUGUAACAGUUCCCUGUGGCAUAAUUAAGUAUUGAUUAUUUUGAAAUUUACUGAAACAUCUAAGUAGUUAUUUCCCUUAAGGCUUUGAUUGUUCCUAGUGCUUGCACAAGUGCAUAAAGAAUAGAAAAGCGCAUGUUUCUUGUCCCAUCUUUUAAAUAAAUACAGUGAUUGCUUAAUGUAAUGAUUAUUUGCUAAAAUAUUUGCAUCGAGCACUUCUGUUUAAAAGAACCUUCAAAGCAGUUAUCUGUAUCCGUAAAACUGUUCAGUAUAAAUGAAACAGUAGAAUCAAACAUUUAUGUUGGGAAUAUUAAAUAUAUUAAAAAAUUCUAGGAGACCACAGUAUUCAGUGAUCCAGUCUGAAAGCCCCAGUAAUAUAGAAUUGUUAUCAGAUGAUGGAAUUUCAUAAGAGAAGGAGCUAUCUUGGCUUCUUUUUGUCAAAAGGUUCUAAAUAUGAUUGUCUUUGCACACCAUUCACUGCUCAGAGUGUAUCUCUAGGAUUCUAAAAAAAGAAAUAGUGUUAACAUGUGACAUCUUUUAAGUGGGAUGAUUGACAUGGUUAUCCAGAUGGAUUUGGGGAACAUGUAAUCCUCAGAUUUGCCCGCAGUUUUUACCUUGCUUAUGUCAUCAACCGCAUAUCCUCCAGAUGCUACAAUCUGGCAGUGAAGGUUUCAAGUUACUAUAUUUGUGACUACCAAUUUAUUCUGGUAAGCCAUUCUGGAUACCCUUUUUGAGGAGAGAAAGCUGGUUAAAUAAAAGAUUAUAUUUAUUUAGAAAGUGUCUUCUAAACCUACAUCUCUUAAUUAUUUGCUAAUACUGUGUAGUUCAUCUCAUGGCAAGCUAGAUGACAAUAUGACAGCUCCUGUUCCCAUGCGGGAGCUCUGAGAUGGGAUUAAAACCCAUCGGCUGCUGAGCUUUCAGGAAUUUUGCAAGACCCUUCAACCAGAUGCAAUAAUCCAGAAAAAUCAGAAAAAUAUUUGAGCCUUAGUGCAGGUGAAACUGCAAAUCCACGGCUGCGUUUUAAUGCUAAAUUUCUAUUUUUUUCUUUGUGACUUUCUAGUGUUUUAGGAGGGCCAGUGUAAUGUGUAGUGGUUUGGGUGUUGGUCUAGGUCAAGCAUGGGCAAACUUGGGCCCUCCAGGUGUUUUGGACUCCAACUCCCACAAUUCCUAACAGCUGGUGGGCUGUUAGGAAUUGUGGAAGUUGAAGUCCAAAACACCUGGAAGGCUGAAGUUUGCCCAUGCCUGGUCUAGGUCUCAGGAGAAGAAAUCCCUGCUUGGCCAUGGAAACCCACCGGGUUGCUGUGAACAACUCACAAUCUGUCAGCCUUAAAGAAAGGCAAUGACAAGCCUCCCUCUGAACAAAUCUUGCCUUGAAACCCCUAUUAUAGCGUUGCCAUAAGUCCAAAACUAUUUGAAAAUAUACAACAACCAGUAUUUUUAACUGUAUUUAUUUUCAUUUUUAUGGCACCUUGGAUCUAAACAAUGAGAAAAGGUGAUAUGUACACUAAAUAAAUUAAUAAUAAGAGUUAAAUCCAUAAAGGAUUUGUACAGAAAUAGCUUUCAUGUUGUUUCUUUUGCCCUAUACUUUAAAAAUAACGAUUGCUAGGGGCUUAUUACCACAUUUCAUUCUUUAAAAACCAUUCUUCAUUGAACAGACUGCUUGAAAAACAUUGCACCUUGACAUUAGGGCCAGAUGCCAGGCACAUAAAGCUCUGAAAUCUGUGAUUCUCCUUUUCUAGAUCUUGACAGUUGAAGCUGUACCAAAAAACAAAACAAAACAAAAUUUUUUAAAAAAAACCCUAAUUGAGCCAUAUUUCUGAGAAAAAUGGGGAAAAAUGUGUUUGCUUUACUCUCAAGAACACCCAUUGGCCUUAAAAGAGCAAUGAGAGCACUAAGAAUACUGCAAAGCAGAACAGCUCCAACUUAAUUACAAUAAAACCAAAAUCAUGGCUUUUGCCAAAAGAACCAAGAGUCACUUCUGGAACAUAGAACAUAAAAUUGAGCAGGUCCCAUGCAGUUGACCUUUUUGGGCCUGUUUCUAGGGCCUGUUUUUCAAAGUAUUCCAUAUAGAAAUUUGCUACUACUGGGCUGAGAGGGCUCCCCAAAAAAGCACCAAAAAAGCCAACUGUUUGGUUCAGAUACGUAGAUGACACCUUCACAAUUUGGAGCCAUGGAGAGGAAGAACUCAGCAAGUUCCUGGACCAUCUUAACAGCAUCCACCCAAACAUCCAAUUCACCAUGGAAAAAGAAAAGGAAGGAAAACUGCCAUUUCUAGAUGUUCUGGUCAUUCGUAAACCCAAUCAACAAUUGGGCCACACAGUUUACAGAAAACCUACACACACAGAUAGAUACCUUCAUAAAAACUCCAACCAUCACCCAAGUCAAAAAAGGAGCACAAUCAAAGCCCUGACAGACCGUGCACAAAGAAUCUGUGAACCUCACCUCCUCCAAGGUGAACUCAACCACCUAAACUGGGCUCUACAGGCCAAUGGAUACUCCACCACAGACAUCAGAAGAGCUGCAAGGCCAAGAACAAGCCAUGAGAGUCAAGACAAAGAUCCACCCAGAGGAAAGGUGUUCUUACCAUACAUCAAGGGAACUACUGACCGCAUAGGCAAAUUGAUGAAGAAGCACAACCUACAAACUAUCUACAGGCCCACAAAGAAAAUCCAACAAAUGCUACGGUCAGCGAAGGACAAGAGGGAUCCUCUCUCUUCUGCAGGAGUCUACCGGAUACCAUGCAGCUGUGGACAAGUCUACAUAGGGACCACCAAACGCAGCGCCCAAACAAGAGUCAAAGAACAUGAAAGGCACUGCAGACUAAUUCAACCAGAGAAAUCAGCCAUAGCAGAGCAUUUGAUGAACCAGCCUGGACACAAGAUACUAUUUGAGAACACAAAAAUGCUGGACCAUUCCAACAACUAUCAUGUCAGACUACACAGAGAAGCCAUUGAAAUUCACAAGCAUGUGGACAACUUUAACAGAAAGGAAGAAACCAUGAAAAUGAACAAAAUCUGGCUACCAGUAUUACAAAACUCCAAAAUCAAAACAGUAGAUGGGAACCAACACAAUGAAGGCUUGACUGAACAAAGGAUGCCCCCAGGCAAGGGACAAAACAUCUCCAAUGCUAAUUAGGGUGAUUAACUGAAACAUUAAUGCUGGCUCCCAGUGACAAAGGACUCUUGCCACACCUUGGACUUUACACAGAUAUAUAUUCUUUCCCUUACUUAGUUUAUCCAUACCUCACAACCUCUGAGGAUGCCUGCCAUAGAUGUGGGCGAAACGUCAGGAGAGAAUACUUCUGGAACAUGGCCACACAGCCCGAAAGACAUACAACAACCCUGUGAUCCCGGCCAUGAAAGCCUUCGACAACACUUGGGAGUAGUUUUCCGAUUCAACAGUAGCAGAAGAGCCCAUGGAGACCACGUAGCUGACACUGAGCAGAGGAGCUCAACUGUCAUUUUAAAAUACAGUAGAGUCUCACUUAUCCAAGCUAAACGGGCCGGCAGAAGCUUGGAUAAGCGAAUAUCUUGGAUAAUAAGGAGGCAUUAAGGAAAAGCCUAUUAAACAUCAAAUUAGGUUAUGAUUUUACAAAUUAAGCACCAAAACUUCAUGUUAUACAACAAAUUUGACAGAAAAAGUAGUUCAAUACACAGUAAUGAUAUGUUGUAAUGACUGUAUUUACAAAUUUAGCACCAAAAUAUCACGAUAUAUUGAAAACAUUGACUACAAAAAUGGCUUGGAUUAUCCAGAGGCUUGGAUAAGCAAGGCUUGGAUAAGUGAGACUCUACUGUACCUGGGCCACUCAGAACAAUGCUACACCACCCUGCUGCUUUCAGAUACCAAUUCAGUUAUAACCCAUAAUGUUGCCAAGUUCUGUGCAACAGCUCUUUAAAUCUUCCGUGUGAUGGCUGGCUCCAAAAGUUAGCAAUCUAACCAUCAACUAACCGAAAUAUAAAUUUGUGCCCCCCUCCCACUCGCCUAGACUUGUGCCCUAAAUGCUGCUACACCCCAUCAAUUUUCUUCCCUUUCCAUCCCCAGCCCUUUUCUAAAUAGUUUUGUGCCUUAGCCUUCAACAUACCUCUGUUUUCUAGUCUUUUGAUUUCAAUGUACAACACUUUUAUACGACUGUAAACCUCUCUCCUUAUACUGGUCUAUGACCGUAAUAAAGAUUUGUUGUUGGUGUUCGAUUUCAUAUAUACAUUGCCCUCAAAAAUGAGGUCAUUCUUUCAAGGCUGUGGCAUCUGAUAUGUUUGUAUUGAUCUUACAAACUUGUACUCUUUCCAAAAACUCUCAGUGGCUUUUACAUAUCUGUGGAGAGGAAUGGCAAACAUUGCUGACACUGAAAUGUAUUUUCUCAGUAUCUUUUCCCAGCAUUGCGAUAUGCAUCUCUUUCUAGAUGGGCAUCACUGUCCUUGACUAACAAUCAGUAAUACUAUGCACUUUUCUCCCUAAUGGGACCUUCCUUGGUAUCUUUACUUUAUUAUGGCAUUCAAAGCCUUUUUGCAUGCAGCAGAUUUUGAUUGACUAAACCAGUGGUUCUUAACUUGUGGGUCCCCAGAUGUUUUGGCCUUCAACUCCCAGAAAUCCUAACAGCUGGUAAACUGGGAGUUUCUGGGAGUUGUAGGCCAAACACCUGAGGACACACAGGUUGAGAACCAAUGGACUAAACAUUACCUUCCCACCAGAGUGGUACCUAUUGAUCUACUCACAUUGGCAUGUUUUUGAACUGCUAGGUUGGCAGAAGCUGGAGCUAAGAGUGGGCGCUCACUCCGCUCCCAGGAUUUGAACCUGUGACCUUUCAGUCUGCAAGUUCAGCAGCUUAGUGCUUUAACACACUUCCGAAGGAUGGUGCAGUGGGGGGGGGGGGGGGGGGGAAGAAGAAGAUGUGAAGAUCUAAUCUCCACCCACCUAUCUUCUAUACAUUUCCCUUUACCAGUCAUUGUCAUUACAAUCUUUUUUUAUUCCUUAAAAUAGCACCAUCAUGACAGCUUUGGCCAACCCCCUUCUUUAUAUGAUUAGAACUUUUUGUGCUUAUUUCUGAUUUGCUUUCUUUCAAGACAUUUUUCCAUCUAGGUUUUGAAUAGGAUGUGUCUCUACAAGCUAUUUAGGAAAGGAACAGCUCUCUACUUAAUUAAGAGAGUGAUAUAAUUGGGUUUUGCAGAAGGGUUUGGUAUGUUUCUAGUUUAUUCCAAUAAAUAUAAUUAUACAAAUAGAGCUGUGUUGUAUAUGUCACUAUAGUUUCUUUUUCCUGGUUUACCGGUAUAGUGAAGGUUACAAAAAUACUCUUAGGCUGCCAUAAAUGUUUUCUUGUCAGCCAUUCAAAUUACUGUAUAUACUCGAGUAUAAGCCUAGUUUUUCAGCCCUUUUUUAGGGCUGAAAAAGCUCCCCUCGGCUUAUACUCGAGUGAGGGUCCUGGCCGGCUUCUAUUCAGGUCGGCUUAUACUUGAGUAUAUAGGUAUUCAGAGUUGGACAGUCUUAUCUUAUUAAAGUCUUAUUAUUAUCUUAAAUUACAGUUUUAUAUAAAUAUUCAAAAACAUUUAACCUACUGAUGCCUCAAAUAAUGCAAUUUUAGCAAUAUCUAUUUUUAUUUUUGAAUUUGACCCGUAGCUGCUGCAUUUCCCACCCUCGUCUUAUACUCGAGUCAAUAAGUUUUCCCAGUUUUUGUGGUAAAAUUAGGUGCCUCGGCUUAUAUUCGAGUCGGCUUAUACGCGAGUAUAUACGGUAUACCCAACAUAAGCACUUUCCCACACUAGGUAAAUCCGAAUAUAUGGUUCAGGCUUAGUACUACAAACCAUUGCAUUGUCCCUUUUAUCUCCCCAUGACCUUUGUUUAUUGAGUUCCUUUAACAUCAACUGUUUAAAAUUCACCCAGUGGCUAGAAUUACUGGCUGCAUUUCUUCCAUGAUGUCCCCUUCUGUUUGGAAUGGUAGUGGCCUUGCUUACACAUUUCAUUAAACCACUUUCUCAAAACUCAUAUUUUCCAGAGUCCCAAUAAAAUAUUAUAGCUAAUCUAUAUAUAUCAAAGAGUGAUGGCAUCACGGCGACCCACAAAACAACAAAACUACAGGCCCCCCAACCUCUAAAUUUGACAACACAACCCAUCAUCCACGGCUCUAGGUUGAUACAACAAAAAGAAAAGAAAAAUAUAGUCCCAAUUAGAGAGAGAGGAAUAAUUGCUUUUAUCCAAUUGCUGCCAGUUAGAAGGCUAAGCUCCUCCAACUUGAUCUCCUAGCAACCCAAUAAAAAAUAAUUAAAAACACUAAAAAAUAAUUAAAAACACUAAAAAAUUAAUACAAUAAAAUACUAUAAUAACAGAAAAUAACUAAAAAUAAUACAAGAAAAUAAUAAAAUAUAAUAAAAAGAUAACUUACAAUAAAAUUUAUAAAAAAAAAUACAAAUAACGUCAAAUAAAAAUUACACAAUUUUUAACCAAUACCACCACCACUUUGCCACAGCAACGCGUGGCCGGGCACAGCUAGUAAGUAUAUAAUUGUAUUUCUCCCAUUUAGCACUGCUUCAAUUUCACUCCCAUUCCUCACAUUGUUGUGUUUUUUUCAAGUAGUUUCUGAUGGAUGGCAACCUAAGGCAAUUGUAACUAUUGGCAAGAGUUGUUCAGAGAGCAGUUGUGCUUUGCCUUCCUCUGAGACACUGCCUACCAGACGUAGUAGGUAAGGCAGUACUGGUUUGGGCUUCUGCGGAAACCAGAUCUGCUAUUUUAGCCUGCUGUGGCUCUCCCUCUUUCUGGCAUGCUAUGUGUUUAGGGAUCCUGGGGCAGGAGUUUGCACAGCAUAUUCCUACAGAAAUUUUUAAAAAGAAAUUAAUUUACAUGUGAUACUAUAAAAAUUCAUUGAAUUUUCCAUUGAAUGUACAAUGUUUUCUCGUGUGUGUGUGCGUGUGCGUGUGCGUGUGUGUAUAUAUAUACAGUAGAGUCUCACUUAUCCAAGCUAAAUGGGCUGGCAGAAGCUUGGAUAAGCGAAUAUCUUGGAUAAUAAAGAGGGAUUAAGGAAAAGCUUAUUAAACAUCAAAUUAGGUUAUGGUUUUACAAAUUAAGCACCAAAACAUCAUGUUAUAUUGAUAUAUUGAAAACAUUGACUACAAAAAUGGCUUGGAUUAUCCAGAAGCUUGGAUAAGCGAGGCUUGGAUAAGUGAGACUCUACUGUAUAUUGUUUUUCCUCCCAAUGUAGUCUAGUUUUCUGUUUUUACGUCUUCAUGAUCUUCCUUUCCCUGAUAAUGUGAUCAGAAAAUGCCUUACUCAUCGCAUAUGAAAGUGAGGAAAGGAAAAAAGGUUAAUAAUAAUAUUUUCAGAAUCUGAUUAUAUGUAACUUAAAAAUUGUGUCUUUACAAUAUUCUGUAAGCAAUUUGUUCAUUUUAUUCAUUUAUACCAUGUUUUACAAGCAACUUUCACAGCAUCUUAGUGGAAGAUUAUAAUAUGGGUCCAUAUUAGUAGCAUUCUUUAGCAAAUAUAUUUGUGUGCCAUCUUUAAUCUUAUAGAAUAUUUAAAGCUCAAACUUCUGUACACUUACAAGUGGAUGAGGUUUCCAAGGCUGAGCUGAAAUUUGAAUCCUGUUCUGUAGACCUGUAGUCUGGAGAACAGGACAGCACUACAGAUCAGCUUCCCUAAUUCCUAAUAACUCCCUAUUUCACACCCUUGCAAUUUAACAUGGAGCACCAGAAAUUCUAUUUUUGUAAAAUCGAAAACUCUCCACUAUUUCAUGAGAAUUGAGAUCGCUGUCAGGGGUCUACUUUUGCAAUAGGAAAAAAAAUUAUCCAAUAUUCUAAAUUAUGACAAUUAUUUAGUUUUAAUUAUGCAUUUCCAAAAGCACAACAUAGUAGGAUUAGUUGAUAUACAGGCAGUUUUGACGUUACGAACAAGACAGGCUCUGUAGGUUUGUUCUUAAGUUGAAUUUGUUUGUAAGUUGGAAUAGGUAUAUUCUUAAGUGUAACUCCAGUCGUGUGUGUGUGUGUGCGUGUGUGCGCGCUUUGGAUAGCAUAGGGAAGGGUUAAUUUAUUUAUUUGCCUCAUUUAUACUUCGCCUUUCUCACCCCAAAGGGGUGUUUGUUUUGCUAUCUGUGUCCCUGUUCAGAAGAUUUCACUGCAUUUUCUGCCCCUGAGAUAAUUUGACUUUGAAAAAUUUGGCUUGGAAACAAGGAUUGGUGAGGAAGCUUCAGUGAAGACACCAUUUCCCCAUGAUAACUCUUUCAGGAGUGAAUUUCCCUUCUUGGGAGUAGAUUUCUCCCAUUUCCAGUUGUUCCUGUUUUUAACUAUGAAUUGUUUGCAAGUUAUUGUUAUUAUUAUUGUUAUUGUUAUUAUUAUUUUCUCAGAUAAACUCAAAAUGUGUUGUCGAAGGCUUUCAUGGCCAGGAUCACAGGGUUGUUGUAUGUCUUUCAGGCUGUGUGGCCAUGUUCCAGAAGUAUUAUCUCCUGACGUUUUGCCCACAUCUAUGGCAGGCAUCCUCAGAGGUUGUGAGGCAUGGAUAAACUAGGCAAAGAAGGAAAAAAUAUAUAUCUAUGGAGAGUCCAGGGUGUGACAAGAGUCCUUUGUCAGUUGGAAGCCAGCGUUAAUAUUUCAGUUAAUCACCCUAAUUAGCAUUGGAAAGGUUUGUCUCUUGCCUGGGGGGCAUCCUUUGUUCAGAGUCAUUAGCUGUCCUUGGGGCUCCUCUGCCCUCAGAGUGUUGCUUCCCAUCUACUGUUUUGAUUUUUGAGUUUUUUAAUUUUGUUUAUUUUAUUCUGCUUCAUAAUAGCAUAAAAUAAUUACAAAUGGUGAGAUUAAAUACAACAAAAGUUAUAUUCAUUGCUUUUGUGUGUUCUACUUAAUUAUUUGUUUGUGUGUGUGUGUGUGUACACACACAUACUUUGAAAAGAAAGAAUUAAAUUUAAACAGUGGACAUAGCAAAGAUAUCUAUAUCUAUAUAUCUAUAGAUAUAGAUAUAUAGAUAUAGAUAUAGAUAUAUUAUCAGAUAUGAACUUCAACAACCUCUAAAUAUCCAUGUAAGCCAAUACCAUUCUGUAAAUCCACAAAAUAUUUAAACCAACCAUCAUAAGCAUUAAAGAAAUAAUCACUGUUAAUCCCCCCAAAGUCAGUCAGAACAAGUGUGAAUAAUACGACUUUCAUCAAACACUUUCAUCCUUGGGAAAAGGUGAUUUAUAAUACUAAUUAUUAGUUAAUUGUAUAAUGGCAACUACAUUAUUCUUCCAUGUUAUCUAUUAUUCAAAAAACACAUUAGUUCAGAUCAUAAUUGUUCUAAUUAACAUUUUAUCAAUACUUUUAUUUUUUUUUAGGGUAUCGCUCAUAAGAAUUCUUUCUGUACAUUUUUUCAGAUGGAAAUCAAUGCUUUUUGGGCAUUUCAACACAAGAAAAAUGUUUUGCAGUGUCUGUAUAGUGUAUCAAUAUAUUCCUGAUUAGUUAUUAUCUUUGUUGUACCAAUUUUAGUGGUUACAAACUGACUAAUAAAUAUUAGAUUCAUUGUUUCACACAUUUACAGUAGAGUCUCACUUAUCCAAGCCUCGCUUAUCCAAGCCUCUGGAUAAUCCAAGCCAUUUUUGUAGUCAAUGUUUUCAAUAUAUCGUGAUAUUUUGGUGCUAAAUUCGUAAAUACAGUAAUUACAACAUAACAUUGCUGCGUAUUGAACUGCUUUUUCUGUCAAAUUUGUUGUAAAACAUGAUGUUUUGGUGCUUAAUUUGUAAAAUCAUAACCUAAUUUGAUGUUUAAUAGGCUUGUCCUUAAUCUCUCCUUAUUAUCCAAGAUAUUCGCUUAUCCAAGCUUCUGCCGGCCCGUUUAGCUUGGAUAAGUGAGACUCUACCGUAUUUAUUGUGCUUUUAGACUUAAUAGCCACAUUUCUCUGAGUUGUAUACAAUACAGUAAAAUACAAACAAGAAGACUAGGAUAUAGAGAAGUAUGUAGUAAAACCAAUUUUAAGUGGCCAAGAAUACAAAAACUAUACCAUAUAAAUCUAAGCAGCCAAACAAAAUGGUAGUUCUGAGUACUACACUAUUUAAGUUUGAAGAAUAGCAUAGGGACUGAAAAAUCCAUCACUACUAUUUUCUUCUCCGUGGUGGUCCCAUCAUUGGAAAAAGUCUAUUUUCCUACAACGUUCACCUUGCCACCACAUUUGGUAGGAGCAACCAAAGGAGUGAUAACUAGGGUAGUGGUUAGAAUAUUAGUUUAUUGUUGUACAUUUUAAAGUCAUUUCUUAUUUAUGGCAACUUUUAAAAAUAACUUUAAGAUCUAUUACAACAUAUAUAAAGAUAAUAAAACUGGAUAGAAAGAAGGGGGAGAAAUCACAGCAAAGGGGCUAUGGGGGUAGGUGUGGGAGGAAAGCUGACUUCCAAUCUUCCCCACAUCUGUUGUCAUAUUCCUUUUCUUCUCCUAUCUGUAUUUCAUGCUAUUCCCUCUUUGUUUUUCCCCUCUCCAGAGAGUAAUUUUAGUUUCAGAUGCCAAUCUCCUCCGUCCAGUUUAUUUUAACACUCAAAGUCUUUGAUUUGAGAGCUGGAUGGCAUGCCUAUUUGUGGUACGAGAAAAUAAAAAAGAGAAAAAUUUUGGAAAGAUAAAAAAUCUGGGAUAAAUAUUUAUAUCCAGAAACACCACAAUGGAUCUCACCUGUAGAAGCCUUACACAAGGGAGAAUUAGGCCAAGACAAAUUUAUUACCUAUAGACAAUUAAUUAAAAAAAACUUCAUGGAGAAAUUAUACUUAAAUCACAGAAAGAAAUCAAAGAAAUAGACAAAAUAUAUCAUGGUUCCAAUACAGACAAAUAAGAGAAAGCUUCAACAAAGAUUAGAAAAAAAGGCUUUAUGGAGAAAAAAACCUUCUGGGAUAAAGUAACAAAUACAGAGAGGAAAUUAAUUCUCAAAUUCUCAAAAAAAAAUGGCUGGAGUGGUUGACAGAAGAACAAGUUAAAGAUUGUAUAGUGAAGUGUGCUACAGAUGUUGGCCAUACAAUAAGAUUAGAAGAUUGUGGAAAAACCUGGAACAAAAAAUUAAAAUGUACUUAUAAGAUCUCAAAGAAAAUUGGUUUAAGAUGAUGUAUCAAUGGUAUCUGACACAACAAAAUUCUAUCCAAACUUAAAUGAUAAAUGUUGGAAAUGUGAAGACCAGACUGGAAUCUUCUUCCAUAUGUGGUGGAACUACAAGUCCACAAAAAAUAUUGGAGAGAAAUACGAUGGAAAGUACAAAAAAUACUGGACAUUAAAUUACAACUCAAACAUGAAUACUUCCUAUUAGGUAUAAUAGACUUUGAAAUAAAUAACAAAAAAGAGAAACUAUUCACAUAUCUCAAAACAGCAGCGAGAAUAAUAGAUGCCCAGAAAUGGAGAACGAAAGAGCUACCAAUGGCAGAGCAAUAGAUAUAAUGAACAUGGACAAAUUAACUUAUUUACUAUGCCAAGAUCCUGCAGAGGACCACAGAUCAUAACCUUAGGGUCUCUGUAGGUAGAUAUGGGAGAUGUUCCUUUAGGGAUGUGGCCCCAGGCAUUUAGAGACUAAAACUACCGAAUCCCAGUUUAGCAGUAUAAUUGCCCUAUGUUUGAAUAAAUGAAACUUUAGAUCCUUUUUCAAAGGAGGUCAAGAUACAUUUCAGUAUCCAGUUUUAAAUAAUGACAGGAUAGUUAUAAUUUGGGAGGACAAUCGCAGCCUGGCAUCUUACUCACAGCAGAUCUAUCUAUACCGGUAGGUCUUAUUUUAUGGGGAUGUCUUAUUUUCGGGGAAACACGGUAGAAGUGAACAUAUGUAUGUGUGUGUGUGGCAGGGGUGUCCAUUUACACAGACAAGCUCCUGCCUCCACAAACAGCUAUAGCUCCCUCUACUCAGGAGACACCAAUGGCCCUCCUUCCAAUGACAUUGCAGGUUAUUGUGAGUGCCAUGAACAUAUACAAGAGCCCUGCCAAUGUCCACCACAAGCACUGUACUGCCCACCAUCCAAGUGAAGGCUUUCAAUGGGGACAAUUUCAUCCUAGAUUUUCUGUUUUUCCUCCAUCACAGACACCCCAGUGUUUCAGACUCUUUCCAUUGGUGUGGAAUUUGCAUGACCCCGCCCACUGCCUCUCCCAUAACCCUUUCCUAUUCUUUUCUAUGGCACACAGCAAACAGAGGAAUUGAUCAGCAACUGAACAUACUAGAGAGGUUUGGGAAGAAUUCACAAUGAUUUAUAGGAGUUGUAGGGACUGGGAAGUAUAGUUCACCUGCAAUCUAAGGGCACUCUGAACUCCACCAAUGAUGGACCUGGGACUAACUUGGCACACAGAGCCCCCAUUGAUGACCGUCACCCCGGUUUUAAAAUUAAUUUAAAAGCGUAGCGGAGAGUUCCGCAGAUCACUCACCAAAGGAACGGAGCGGGACCGCAGCAGACUAUUAUUAAAAGAUUUUUUUCUUUCUUCACUUUCCCCUUCCCUGAACUAUGUAACAAAUCCCCCAAUAAAAGUAGCAUUUAUUUUAACAAUAACACUCUCUAUCUGGUUAUUUUGUAUCUUUCUCUGACUCCUUCCUUUGCAUGCAAUUUCUCUCUCUCUCCCGUCCCUUUAACUCCGGCUGAGGUUUCUCCGCCAUAGAUUAAUAUGGCGGACGAUACAAAUUGGCUCAUAUCUCUAUCAAAAUUACCCCUAGAACGCUCCUCUUUUAGUCCUAACCCUUUCUAAGGCUCCUGACUCGAAGACCACCAGCGGAACCGAAAUCGGUCCAGUUUUCGGCACCUCAACAGCUGAUUGUCAAACGGGACCGACUGCUCUCUUCCAGCCUUAUCCCGGACUUUUCUCUCCCCUUGACUCGCGGAAUGGUUUUAAGAGAUCCCUAGCCCCUUUCUGUGAACUGGGAAUGGGGGGAUCGCUCUCUCGCGGGGGAGACAUGGAUCUCCAAGUACCCUCACCCUCUCUGCAGCUGCCAGGGGGUGCCCGGACGGGUGCCCUCCACGUUUCAUUCAUACUUUCAUGAUUUUAUGAAGGAGAAGAACACUCUUCCCCAGACCUACCCCUGGACUUAUGAAAUCCUAUACUUCCAAAGACUGCAACCCACAUGUGCCUCUUCCCCAUGCCAUCUCUACGAAUUCCUCCCAUCACAGAUGAACUCUUUUUCCUCAUGUAUCCAUGAAUUUGCAUAUUCUAUGUACCUGGACACCCUCAUGACCCACUGUUGUAUGAAUUUCUAAUCGUUGGGCUAACUUCAUGAAUUGUGAAAUCAUGCUGCUUGAACUCCACUCCUAUGACUUUCCAUAUUGGGUUCCCCAGAUGUUGUAAACCUCAUUCUUAUCAAAUGUUUUCAAUUGUUUAUAUCAUCCAUGGUUCCCCUUUGUGCAAUGUAACCCCCCCUCUAUGGAUUCUCCCUUUCCUCCUUGAAAUCUACCUAUCUGCCUAUAUGUAUUUAUACUCUUUGGGAUCCCCGGAAAAUAUGUGUUUUUCCCAGCUGGGUUUAUGUUCCAACUUUAUUUUAAUUUUCAUCCUAUCCCAUAUAAUUGUUAAAUCAUGAAAUCAAAUGGGAAAUAUUAUGACCCCAACAUGAACCCUAGCCCGUAUGACCCAGACCUCCCUUCCCAAAAACAAAAGGAUAAUCUGCCACAGUUUAAUCCAAUCUCAUUCCGAUCGCAUGGACAAUAUAGGGCUUGAGUCACCAAAUUCCUAAAGGUGAUUCGACCCCAAGGCAAACAUUGUCAUAUCCCAGGCCAGGACGCCUCAGGAAGGCACCCUGUGGGGCCCGUCAAUGACGGCUCAUCACCACCCUUCUUUACUUCCCCCUGUCACCCCAAGGCAUAUCUAAAAACCUGUGAACGUGACAGGACCCCGGACAUCCUUGAUGGGUGCCAUUAAUUCCUUUAGAAAUCGGCCGGGCCAGGAUUAAUCUGAUAUUUCCUGUCCGGUCACUUCAUUGUUUCAAUAGCUCCCGCCUCCUCCUCCCUGAUUGGCCCGAGUGGGGACAAAAAAGCGGCUCCCCAUUGGGCCAGCAGAGCGAGGCGGGAAACGAAAGCCCGCCUCGUUCAACCUCCCAGCCUAUCCACGAUCAGAUGGGCGGGGGAGCGGGGCGGGAAAUUCAAAGGGCUGUCAGACCGAAACAUUGUAUAAAUAUGGCUUUAUUUUGAAUGUAUGUUACGCUAGUAGAUUGAAUGAUCGCUACUAGUGUCCAUUCAGCUGAAUCGCUCAAUAAAGACUCCUUGGCGGAUUUUCCUUCAA